UUUUCCCAUAACCACAGAGUUCCAAGUAGCAGGGUGGAAAUAAAUUUUAACUUAUACAGUUUACCAUGUCAGGGAGCUCUGCUUUCUCUAUGUACAAGCAGCUCCACGUGUACAGUUCAGGUUACAGUACUCCACUGGUCAGUCUACUGAUGAGGACAUAGCUGAAUGGCUAUUAACCGUGGGGCCUAGUUGGAGGAGGAAGGGAGAACCUUGCAACACGGGGAUCCUGACGGCCAGGCCACUCCCAAACCAAUGAAAUCAGAAUCUCUGCGGGUGGAGCCCAGGCAUCAGCGAAGCUCCCAGGAGCAGCCAGGACUGGUCCACAGUCACAGGACUGAUGCAGAUCUUCAGGAUCGGCUCUGCAUACCCAGGAGCUCAGGGCUCCCUGUGGCCUCGCCUGCAGGGGCAGCCUCUGCUUGCAGCGCAUACCUCUGCCCUGCCUGUCAGCACCUGCGGGAUUAAGCAGAGGGAAAAGUGAGCCAGGCUCGUCGGGCUGGCUGCUGCACUCGGAGCAUGACAACGUCAAGUGCACAUAAUUACUACUAAUGCAAGAACACAGUGUGAAAACCAUCCAAGAGCACAGCACCUGUAACAGAGGCAGGCAGCAAGCCUUGCUCUGUUGGACCCAGAGACCACAUGCUUUCUGCACAAGGAACCACCGACAGUGCUUAUGAGCUUAGUAAGAACUUGAAAACAACAAAUUUUAACAGCAACACCAUCAUCAAACAACAAAAUACCACCACCAAAACACCGCAGCUAACUCAGGAGAAAACGCCCUCAGCUUCCUGGCCCUUUGGUGUAAUAAUGGUGGCUUGU